UACGUAGGCAGCAAGCGUUGUUCGGAGUUACUGGGCGUAAAGCGCGCGCAGGCGGUUUCUCAAGUCAGUGGUGAAAGCCCGGAGCUCAACUCCGGAACUGCCAUUGAAACUGUGAAACUUGAGGACGAGAGAGGUGAGUGGAAUUCCCAGUGUAGAGGUGAAAUUCGUAGAUAUUGGGAAGAACACCGGUGGCGAAGGCGGCUCACUGGCUCGUUUCUGACGCUCAGGCGCGACAGCGUGGGGAUCAAACAGG
rnacentral:rRNA from 1 species